GCAGGGAAUCUUGCACAAUGGGCGAAAGCCUGAUGCAGCGACGCCGCGUGAGGGAUGAAGGCUCUAGGGUUGUAAACCUCUUUUCUCAGGGAAGAGUAAGGACGGUACCUGAGGAAUAAGCCACGGCUAACUACGUGCCAGCAGCCGCGGUAAUACGUAGGUGGCGAGCGUUGUCCGGAAUUACUGGGCGUAAAGGGUCCGUAGGCGGCCUGGAAAGUCCUUUGUGAAAUCUCCCGGCUUAACUGGGAGAGGUCGAGGGAUACUUCCAGGCUUGAGGACGUCAGAGGGAGACGGAAUUCCCGGUGUAGUGGUGGUAUGCGUAGAUAUCGGGAGGAACACCAGUGGCGAAGGCGGUCUCCUGGGGCGCUCCUGACGCUGAGGGACGAAAGCGUGGGUAGCAAACCGG
rnacentral:rRNA from 1 species